rnacentral:rRNA from 1 species
UACAGAGGUCCCAAGCGUUGUUCGGAUUCACUGGGCGUAAAGGGUGCGUAGGUGGUCAGGUAAGUCGGAUGUGAAAUCUCCGAGCUCAACUCGGAAACUGCAUUGGAAACUACCUGGCUCGAGGGUUGGAGGGGGGACUGGAAUGCUUGGUGUAGCAGUGAAAUGCGUAGAUAUCAAGCGGAACACCAGUGGCGAAAGGC